rnacentral:rRNA from 1 species
GACGAACGCUGGCGGCGUGCUUAACACAUGCAAGUCGAACGGAAAGGCCCUGCUUUUGUGGGGUGCUCGAGUGGCGAACGGGUGAGUAACACGUGAGUAACCUGCCCUUGACUUUGGGAUAACUUCAGGAAACUGGGGCUAAUACCGGAUAGGAGCUCCUGCUGCAUGGUGGGGGUUGGAAAGUUUCGGCGGUUGGGGAUGGACUCGCGGCUUAUCAGCUUGUUGGUGGGGUAGUGGCUUACCAAGGCUUUGACGGGUAGCCGGCCUGCGAGGGUGACCGGCCACAUUGGGACUGAGAUACGGCCCAGACUCCUACGGGAGGCAGCAGUGGGGAAUAUUGCACAAUGGGCGGAAGCCUGAUGCAGCAACGCCGCGGGCGUGAUGACGGCCUUCGGGUGGUAAACCGCUUUCGCCUGUGACGAAGCGUGAGUGACGGUAAUGGGUAAAGAAGCACCGGCUAACUACGUG